rnacentral:rRNA from 1 species
UAAAAAAAGGUAAGCUACUAAGAGCGAAUGGUGGAUGCCUUGACUGGUAAAGGCGAUGAAGGACGUACUAGACUGCGAUAAGCUACGGGGAGCUGUCAAGAAGCUUUGAUCCGUAGAUUUCCGAAUGGGGCAACCCAAUGUAUAGAGAUAUACAUUACCUAUAUAGGAGCGAACGAGGGGAAUUGAAACAUCUUAGUACCCUCAGGAAAAGAAAUCAAUAGAGAUUGCGUCAGUAGCGGCGAGCGAAAGCGCAAGAGGGCAAACCCAGUGCUUGCACUGGGGGUUGUAGGACUGCAAUGUGCAAGAGCUGAGUUUAGCAGAACAUUCUGGAAAGUAUAGCCAUAGAGGGUGAUAGUCCCGUAUGCGAAAAACAAAGCUUAGCUAGCAGUAUCCUGAGUAGGGCGGGACACGAGGAAUCCUGUCUGAAUCUGGGUCGACCACGAUCCAACCCUAAAUACUAAUACCAGAUCGAUAGUGCACAAGUACCGUGAGGGAAAGGUGAAAAGAACUGAGGUGAUCAGAGUGAAAUAGAACCUGAAACCAUUUGCUUACAAUCAUUCAGAGCACUAUGUAGCAAUACAGUGUGAUGGACUGCCUUUUGCAUAAUGAGCCUGCGAGUUGUGGUGUCUGGCAAGGUUAAGCAAACGCGAAGCCGUAGCGAAAGCGAGUCUGAAUAGGGCGCUUAGUCAGAUGCUGCAGACCCGAAACGAAGUGAUCUAUCCAUGAGCAAGUUGAAGCUAGUGUAAGAACUAGUGGAGGACUGAACCCAUAGGCGUUGAAAAGCCCCGGGAUGACUUGUGGAUAGGGGUGAAAGGCCAAUCAAACUUCGUGAUAGCUGGUUCUCUCCGAAAUAUAUUUAGGUAUAGCGUUGUGUCGUAAUAUAAGGGGGUAGAGCACUGAAUGGGCUAGGGCAUACACCAAUGUACCAAACCCUAUCAAACUCCGAAUACCUUAUAUGUAAUCACAGCAGUCAGGCGGCGAGUGAUAAAAUCCGUCGUCAAGAGGGAAACAACCCAGACUACCAGCUAAGGUCCCUAAAUCUUACUUAAGUGGAAAACGAUGUGAAGUUACUUAAACAACCAGGAGGUUGGCUUAGAAGCAGCCAUCCUUUAAAGAAAGCGUAAUAGCUCACUGGUCUAGUGAUUUUGCGCGGAAAAUAUAACGGGGCUAAAGUAAGUACCGAAGCUGUAGACUUGCACACAACUUAGAUUAUUUAAGUUUAGAAUAUGAGAAACUAAGUUAUGUUUAGUUAUAUUUUUACUGAUUUUUAUAGAGUAAAGAUAGAAAUAAAACUUAGUAAAAUCAGUAAAAAUAUUCUUAGACUAAAGUUAAGUAGUUUAAGUUGUGUGCAAGUGGUAGGAGAGCGUUCUAUUUGCGUCGAAGGUAUACCGGUAAGGAGUGCUGGAGCGAAUAGAAGUGAGCAUGCAGGCAUGAGUAGCGAUAAUUAAUGUGAGAAUCAUUAACGCCGUAAACCCAAGGUUUCCUACGCGAUGCUCGUCAUCGUAGGGUUAGUCGGGUCCUAAGUCGAGUCCGAAAGGGGUAGACGAUGGCAAAUUGGUUAAUAUUCCAAUACCAACAUUAGUGUGCGAUGGAAGGACGCUUAGGGCUAAGGGGGCUAGCGGAUGGAAGUGCUAGUCUAAGGUCGUAGGAGGUUAUACAGGCAAAUCCGUAUAACAAUACUCCGAGAGCUGAAAGGCUUUUUGAAGUCUUCGGAUGGAUAGAAGAACCCCUGAUGCCGUCGAGCCAAGAAAAGUUUCUAAGUUUAGCUAAUGUUGCCCGUACCGUAAACCGACACAGGUGGGUGGGAUGAGUAUUCUAAGGCGCGUGGAAGAACUCUCUUUAAGGAACUCUGCAAAAUAGCACCGUAUCUUCGGUAUAAGGUGUGGUUAGCUUCGUACUAGGAUUUACUCCGAAAGCGAAGAAACUUACAACAAAGAGUCCCUCCCGACUGUUUACCAAAAACACAGCACUCUGCUAACUCGUAAGAGGAUGUAUAGGGUGUGACGCCUGCCCGGUGCUCGAAGGUUAAUUGAUGGGGUUAGCAUUAGCGAAGCUCUUGAUCGAAGCCCGAGUAAACGGCGGCCGUAACUAUAACGGUCCUAAGGUAGCGAAAUUCCUUGUCGGUUAAAUACCGACCUGCAUGAAUGGCGUAACGAGAUGGGAGCUGUCUCAAAGAGGGAUCCAGUGAAAUUGUAGUGGAGGUGAAAAUUCCUCCUACCCGCGGCAAGACGGAAAGACCCCGUGGACCUUUACUACAGCUUGACACUGCUACUUGGAUAAGAAUGUGCAGGAUAGGUGGGAGGCUUUGAGUAUAUGACGCCAGUUGUAUAUGAGCCAUUGUUGAGAUACCACUCUUUCUUAUUUGGGUAGCUAACCAGCUUGAGUUAUCCUCAAGUGGGACAAUGUCUGGUGGGUAGUUUGACUGGGGCGGUCGCCUCCCAAAUAAUAACGGAGGCUUACAAAGGUUGGCUCAGAACGGUUGGAAAUCGUUCGUAGAGUAUAAAGGUAUAAGCCAGCUUAACUGCAAGACAUACAAGUCAAGCAGAGACGAAAGUCGGUCUUAGUGAUCCGGUGGUUCUGUGUGGAAGGGCCAUCGCUCAAAGGAUAAAAGGUACCCCGGGGAUAACAGGCUGAUCUCCCCCAAGAGCUCACAUCGACGGGGAGGUUUGGCACCUCGAUGUCGGCUCAUCGCAUCCUGGGGCUGGAGCAGGUCCCAAGGGUAUGGCUGUUCGCCAUUUAAAGCGGUACGCGAGCUGGGUUCAGAACGUCGUGAGACAGUUCGGUCCCUAUCUGCCGUGGGCGUAAGAAGAUUGAAGAGAUUUGACCCUAGUACGAGAGGACCGGGUUGAACAAACCACUGGUGUAGCUGUUGUUCUGCCAAGAGCAUCGCAGCGUAGCUAAGUUUGGAAAGGAUAAACGCUGAAAGCAUCUAAGCGUGAAGCCAACUCUAAGAUGAAUCUUCUCUAAGCUCUCUAGAAGACUACUAGUUUGAUAGGCUGGGUGUGUAAUGGAUGAAAGUCCUUUAGCUGACCAGUACUAAUAGAGCGUUUGGCUUAUCUUUAUAAAGCAU